GAUGAACGCUGGCGGCGUGCUUAACACAUGCAAGUCGAACGGAAAGGCCCUGCUUUUGUGGGGUGCUCGAGUGGCGAACGGGUGAGUAACACGUGAGUAACCUGCCCUUGACUUUGGGAUAACUUCAGGAAACUGGGGCUAAUACCGGAUAGGAGCUCCUGCUGCAUGGUGGGGGUUGGAAAGUUUCGGCGGCUGGGGAUGGACUCGCGGCUUAUCAGCUUGUUGGUGGGGUAGUGGCUUACCAAGGCUUUGACGGGUAGCCGGCCUGAGAGGGUGACCGGCCACAUUGGGACUGAGAUACGGCCCAGAAUCCUACGGGAGGCAGCAGUGGGGAAUAUUGCACAAUGGGCGGAAGCCUGAUGCAGCAACGCCGCGUGCGGGAUGACGGCCUUCGGGUUGUAACCCGCUUUCGCCUGUGACGAAGCGUGAGUGACGGUAAUGGGUAAAGAAGCACCGGCUAACUACGUG
rnacentral:rRNA from 1 species